CAUCACUACGCUAGAUGCAUAUCAAUAAGCGGAGGAAAAGAAACUAACAAGGAUUCCCUAGUAACGGCGAGUGAAGCGGGAAGAGCUCAAAUUUGAAAUCUUCAAGGUUUCCCUUGACGAAUUGUAGUUUAUAGAAGUGUUUUCUGUUAGUAGAGUGGUAAAAGUUCUUUGGAAUAGGACAUCAUAGAGGGUGAGAAUCCCGUAUUUGAUCACUUUCUACUAGCUUUGUGAUACACUUUCAAAGAGUCGGAUUGUUUGGGAAUGCAGUCCAAAAUGGGUGGUAAAUUUCAUCUAAGCUAAAUAUUGGCGAGAGACCGAUAGCGAACAAGUACCGUGAGGGAAAGAUGAAAAGAACUUUGAAAAGAGAGUUAAACAGUACGUGAAAUUGUCAAAAGGGAAGCGUUUGACACCAGUGUUGUCUUUCCGAAAAUCAAUUACGAAUGUCCUUAUUUUGAGAAGUUCAUGACCUUAAUAGGCUUGUUUCUUAUUUUCUUGUAACUUUCUUAAUGCACUUUUCGGUUAACAAGUCAACAUCAAUUUCUUUUGUUGUAAAAGGUUAUGAGGAAGGUGGCUUUACUUUCGGAGUAAAGUGUUUAUAGCCUAGUUAACUCUGCAAUCGGAGAGAUUGAGGUCUGCAGCGUAGAUCCUUCGGGGCUAGAUACAUUUGUGCUAAGUUAUAGCUUUUCAUAGACAACUUGUUGACUAUGUUUAGUCUUGUAGCUUACUCGCUAUGCCUAUUUUACCUACGCUUAGGAUGUUGACACACGCGCGUGCUCG
rnacentral:rRNA from 1 species